CACACCGCCCGUCACACCAUGGGAGUGAGUUCCACCAGAAGUAGUUAGCCUAACCGCAAGGAGGGCGACUACCACGGUGAGAUUCAUGACUGGGGUG
rnacentral:rRNA from 1 species